rnacentral:rRNA from 1 species
GACAGAGGGUGCAAACGUUGUUCGGAAUCACUGGCGUAAGCGCACGUAGGCGGGUCUUUAAGUCGGAGGUGAAAUCCUGGAGCUCAACUCCCAGAACUGCCUUCGAUACUGAGGAUCUCGAGUCCGGGAGAGGUGAGUGGAACUGCGAGUGUAGAGGUGAAAUUCGUAGAUAUUCGCAAGAACACCAGUGGCGAAGGCGGCUCACUGGCCCGGUACUGACGCUGAGGUGCGAAAGCG